rnacentral:rRNA from 1 species
AUUGAACGCUGGCGGCAUGCCUUACACAUGCAAGUCGAACGGCAGCACGGGAGCAAUCCUGGUGGCGAGUGGCGAACGGGCGAGUAAAGUACCGGAACGUGCCCAGUCGUGGGGGAUAACGUAGCGAAAGUUACGCUAAUACCGCAUACGAUCUAUGGAUGAAAGCGGGGGAUCGCAAGACCGCGCGCGAUUGGAGCGGCCGAUAUCAGAUUAGGUAGUUGGUGGGGUAAAGGCCCACCAAGCCGACGAUCUGUAGCUGGGCUGAGAGGACGACCAGCCACACUGGGACUGAGACACGGCCCAGACUCCUACGGGAGGCAGCAGUGGGGAAUUUUGGACAAUGGGCGAAAGCCUGAUCCAGCCAUGCCGCGUGCAGGAUGAAGGCCUUCGGGUUGUAAACUGCUUUUGUACGGAACGAAAAGGACUGCCCUAAUACGGUGGUCCCAUGACGGUACCGUAAGAAUAAGCACCGGCUAACUACGUGCCAGCCGCCGCGGUAA